UGGGGAAUAUUGCACAAUGGGGGGAAACCCCUGAUGCAGCGACGCCGCGUGAGCGAAGAAGUAUUUCGGUAUGUAAAGCUCUAUCAGCAGGGAAGAAAAUGACGGUACCUGACUAAGAAGCCCCGGCUAACUACGUGCC
rnacentral:rRNA from 1 species